rnacentral:rRNA from 1 species
GGUGCGCCCUCUCCCCGCAUGCCGCGUGCGCGUCGCGCCAUUUGCAGUGGCGUGGGUGCCAUGCCCUCGAACCCCCCAUCGGCCCAAUCCAAUCGCCCGCACGCCGCAACCCUUCCUCCUCGAUCUCUCUCCCUCAGCCGCCACAAACCCUAGCCCCCUUUCCUACCAUCCCGCGGUCGCUGUCGCUGCUCCAUCUGACCUCCCUCGUCAGCCGCCGCCGCUACGGCUCCUCGGUCCACCGACUCUGUCCGUGCAAGCGGCCAGUUUCCUUCCGCCCCGACCUUCUCCACUGUCUCCCAGUUCAUCAUCCGUCCCUUGCUGCUCGAGGUGUUCAUCUGCCCAGGCCGCGAGGAGGAAACAUGAGGAGGAGAGACCUCGUCUCGAGAAGCCACGGGAGGAGGGGCUCAAGCAAAGAAGAGCAGUUGCCAGCCAGGUAUUCGGCUUGGCUCGACGCUGUCCUUCGUGUCCGGGCCGUGGCAGACCCUUGCGCCAUCAUUCAGGUGUCUUUGCGGCUGCAGGUCCGCAUAUCUACACUACAAGCUGGACCAUAUAGAAUGAUCCAAUGAUAGGAUCCUGCUGUGUUCUAAUGAAUAGACUGUUCAAAGGAUCUGUUUAAAGACAACAUGCAUGUAUUUGUACAAAGAUCAUAUUAUUUCGAUGCCCAUAUGAAGUUGGUGGUUCAUGCAGACCCAAGGUGCACUGACAGAAGAUAUCAGAGGAGCAGAGGAAAAUGCAAGUGUGUAUGUGUGAAAAAUUAUUGGUUUAACUCAAGGAUGUUGAGGAAAUCCUCGAAGGCAUAAAGACUACACAGACACUUACUUUUUUAUGGUUUUUCUUCGUAGCUGAUGGCAAGCUCCUUUCUUGCUAAUUGUGAUUUCUUUUGUACAUGGCCUCUCACCAGAGUAAGUAUAUAGACCUGUGAUGUUUCUUUCUGAUUUUCUUGGAGUUUUCAGGGGUAUUUUGAGCUUCUAGAUUGAUUGUUUCAUGAAGCAUUAUAGAUCAGACCGUCAAAUUGAUGUGUAGUUUACAGUUAAGUAUCAAGUGGAUGUGGUUCUAUCUUAUUUAUCCAAGAAGCUCUUAUUUGACAAAUCACCAUCCAGUUUGCUGUAUGGCUGAUUCUGAUGCACUCAAAGUGAACAAUGAAUAAUAAUGAUUCUUCUUAUAAAAUUACAUGAUUAAUUAAACCUCAGUUCCUCAUGUUUACUUCGCGGGACUGAAAAUAUUUGUACGAAUUUAUCAAUCAUGUGUCAGCCUUCAUUUGCAUCUCAUCCUCAAAGAAAUCUGAUAUGAUUUAAUUCCAUUAGCAAAUUAUUCUGGUUAGACUUCAAGCUUGGGCCAGUAAUUUUUAUUGUGUAGAUAACAACACGUGGACCUCCUUCAGAGUCAUGAGAAGAAAAACUUUGGGUUAACCGUUUAUUCUGGAUUUGUGAUUUAUGAUGUUCAGGUCAAGGAUGUCGAGUUCUCCUGCUUGCUCUGGUUCGAAACUUUUAUGCUCUGUUUGGCCUGUAACUUGUAUUGCCUUAUUGGUAAAGAUUUAAAUUACACCUUGCUUCUACAAACUAUUUUAUUUUCUUGGAGAAUAUUAUAUUCACUGGUUGACGGGUUGAUCUAUUUGUGUUCUGUACCACGGUUGACGGAACAUCUGAAUUUGAAACCAUGAAUCGGGGAUCAUAGGGUUAUUAGAGCAUAUGUAACUCGGGAACAACGACAAGUUAUUUAGGUGUUGGUCAUCACAAUACACUGGUUGAGGCGAUAAAUCUUGUUUCGUCAAUGCCCACUAUUAUUAUGAUCUCCUUCUUUGCAAAAAUAAGUUCUCCCGUAAUCUUUUUACUGAAUCCAUAAAAAACAAGUUGUGUGAUAGAGCUGUUACUGUGCGGGCCAGAAUGAAGUUUCUAUAUGCCCUACUAUACUCACAUAAUUUCUGAUUCUAAUAGGCUUCCUGCACCGACAUCUGAUGCCUUUCUAUUGUAAAUCUUCACCAAGUUGCCAUUUGUUUUUAUGGAGAUACAAACCAGAUGUAUGACCAUGAGUGAAGGAAUGCUAUUCCAUGAGCGAAGGAGCUCGAGGUGAACAGGGAGUGUGGGAAGGCGAGAGGAACCAGGAGCUCAUCCCUCCUCCCAUGGCUGCCUCAUGGAUCUGGAGUAUAAGGAGGACAACAUGUGCCUGUUGUAGGCGGCGAACUAGAAAAGAAGGCCUCCUCGGACAUUAAGAAGGUACAACUAGGUAGCAAUGGAAGUGCUCCGUUCAAAAACAAGAACUUGGCAGAGGCUCUACAUAUGCAAAUGGAGGUUCAGACACAGCUCCAUGAACAGCUAUAGGAUUCCUACUAGAACAUGUCAUUCCAAAUUACGGCAAUGAGCUUUCUACUCAUGAGCAGUCCUUUUUUAUACUGAAUUUUGAUGCAUACUGUAUGCAGACAAGAAGGGACCCUCAGACAUUAAGGAACUUGGUAGAAGCUCUACAUAUGCAAAUGGAGGUUCAGACACAGCUCCAUGAACAGGUCAAGAGCCAUGAAUAGGAGCAAGGCAUCACACUCCAGCUCUGAGAAGAAAAAGAUAUGAAGACAAGAGAUAGAUCAGUGUUCUGCUCCGAAGCAAAAACAUUUUGCAUGUAAUAAUGAACUGUACUUUACCACAAUCUCUCUAAAACAGGCCUACCUAUUACCAGUCCAUUGCUUGCCUUUUUUUAGGAAGUAUGACUCAGUCGUAUAUAUUUACAUUCGCGUUGUUUAAUUGUGGUUUGUAUGCUUGAAAAUACGUUUUAACCAAGCUUGAAAAUUCUUAUGUGCAGUGAAAUUGUAUCUAA